UGUCAGUUUGUCAAAUACCCCAU
rnacentral:ncRNA from 3 species